CAGUAGCCACGGGAAUACAGAGGGUGCGAGCGUUAAUCGGAUUUACUGGGCGUAAAGCGUGCGUAGGCGGCUUCUUAAGUCGGAUGUGAAAUCCCUGAGCUUAACUUAGGAAUUGCAUUCGAUACUGGGAAGCUAGAGUAUGGGAGAGGAUGGUAGAAUUCCAGGUGUAGCGGUGAAAUGCGUAGAGAUCUGGAGGAAUACCGAUGGCGAAGGCAGCCAUCUGGCCUAAUACUGACGCUGAGGUACGAAAGCAUGGGGAGCAAACAGGACUAGAUACCCGAGUAGUCCCUGUCUCUUAUAC
rnacentral:rRNA from 1 species